rnacentral:tRNA from 1 species
GCGGGGUUGGUAUAUCGGUAUUACUCCAGCUUCCCAAGCUGGCUAGGCGGGUUCGACUCCCGUACCCCGCUCCA